rnacentral:rRNA from 1 species
ACUAAAAAGUUAUUUGAUUUUUAAAUAAAGAAUAGAGGAAAGGAAGAAAAGAAGAAAGAAAAGAAGAAUCUUUAAGUUUUAUUAUAAUGUAAGGAAAAAAUUUUGUUUAUUAUAGAUUAUUAGUAUUGUGAAAGAAAUUUUAAGAUUAAUUAAAAGAAAAAUUGAUUUUUUGUACCUUGUGUAUCAGGGCUUAUUAAUAAAAAAAUUUUUAUAUUAAUUUUUCCCGAAUUAAUAAGAGUUACAAAACUAAAAUUUUUAAUGUAGAAAAAUUAUUAUUAAUAGGUUUGUAGGGGUGAAACGUUAGUCGUUUAUUAAUAUAUCUGGUUUUAAAGGAAAUAAAUUAAAUUUAGAAUUUUAAUAAAUAAUUUUUUAGGGGGUAAUAGUUAUUUUUAAAAUUUAGUAAUCUAGGGGAUGAGCUUUAGAUUAAAAUAAGUAAAAGAGAGUUAUUAAUAAAUUUUAAAAAAGUAGAAUUAGAAGUUUUUAUUUUAGUGUUUAAUAACUAAUUUAAUUAAUUUAUUUUAAUUUAUUUAUAUUAUUUUUAUUUACUUAUUUUACUUUAAUAUCUAUUUUAAUUAGUUAAAUUGAGAUAUAAUGAUAAGAUUAGUAGGGAUUUUUAUUGUAUAAAAUUUAAAUUGAGUUAAAGAUUAAUAUAAGGAACUCGGCAAAUUUAUUUUUCACCUGUUUAAUAAAAACAUGUCUUUUAAGAAUUAUAAUUAAAAGUCGGGCCUGCCCGGUGAAAUUGUUGUUUAACGGCCGCGGUAUUUUGACCGUGCUAAGGUAGCAUAAUCAUUAGUUUUUUAAUUGAAAGCUGGAAUGAAAGGUUUGAUGAGAAAAUAACUGUCUCAGAUUAAAAGUUUUGAAUUUUAUUUUUAAGUAAAAAAGCUUAAAUAUUUAUAAAAGACGAGAAGACCCUAUAGAGUUUUAUAUUUAUUUUUUAAGAUAAAAUAUGGGGGAUUAUUUUAUUAUUUUUAAAAAUAAGUAUUUGAUUGGGGUGAUCAAAAAAUUUAAUGAACUUUUUUUUUAUUUAGAUUCAUAGAUAAGUGAUUUAUAUGAUCCUUUUUUUAAGAUUAAAAGAAAAAAUUACCUUAGGGAUAACAGCGUAAUUUUUUUUUAGAGUUCUAAUCGAAGAAAAAGUUUGCGACCUCGAUGUUGGAUUAAAAUUAACUUUUGGUGAAGAAGCUAAAGGGUUAGGUCUGUUCGACCUUUAAAAUUUUACAUGAUCUGAGUUUAAACCGGUGUGAGCCAGGUUGGUUUCUAUCUUUAUAUAAAUAAAUUAUUUUAGUACGAAAGGACCAAAUAAUUCUUUUUUAAAGUUAAAAGAAUGAAUAUUAAUAAAAAUUAGUAAAAAGUAAAAUUUAAUUUAAAAAUAA